rnacentral:rRNA from 1 species
CACCGCCCGUCACAUCAUGAAAGCCGGUUGUACCCGAAGUCGCCGUGCUAACCCGCAAGGGAGGCAGGUGCCGAAGGUAUGGCUGGUGAUUGGGAUGAAGUCGUAACAAGGUACCC